CCAAGAAUUAAACUAACACCGGAAUAUCCCUUUAAUUGAAGUGUUGCUGGUAGUGACCGGUGUUGUGUUGAGGUGUUCUGAGGUCCAGAUCGGGGAUCUCUUUGGAACUGAUCUGUGUUUAUUCUGACGGAACAGGUCCAAAGGAGAAACCCGAUUCAGCCCCGCAGCCGGCGAGCUGAGCAAGUCCGAAAAAAUAGAUAAAGUGUGGCAGCCAGGCUACUGCUACGUCUCUGCCAAUGCCACGUCCUGCCUGACUGUGUCCUCCAAACGAAACACUACCCCUCUCCUCCUCCUCCUCCUCGCCUGGAAACUUCCUCCGCUGAUAAAAAGGUGAUAAAAGGAGGGAGAGGCCUGCUGGAGGUGGAUAAGGCAGAAUAACAGAUCGGGAACGCUGUGGACUGAAGACAGACAGAGCGAAGAAAAGAACAGAGAUAAUGUGCCAGAGAGAGAGAGAGAGAGAGAGGGAGAGGGGGAAGAAAUCAAAAGCAGAGAGGGGAAGAGAUCAGGACAGGAAGAGUCAAGAGGUGUUUACCAGAACGUCCAUGUUGAGAGUUUUUCAUUUUGCUUUCAGAUAUAGCAGAAGUGUGUGUUUUGUUUUUUUUCGUGUUUAUGUGCCCAAA